UCUCGAUUCGUCUAGUGGUUAGGAUACCUGCUUGUCAUCAUUUCUCUGGUAGACUAUAUAGUCACUGGCGAAAUUAAGCCCGCAGGUGGCCGGGGUUCAAUUCCCCGAUCGAGAG